GGGCCGAUAGAUCAGUGGAAGAUCGCCUGCUUUGCAAGCAGGAGGUCAGGGGUUCAAAUCCCCUUCGGUCCA
rnacentral:tRNA from 2 species